AACAGUUAACAGUUCACUACCUCAGUCCACUUUGGGUCCUGCACGACACACGUGAUCGGCGAUGCAUUGGGCCUUGCUGAGUCGAGUCCACCAGUCUUCCUCGCCGGUGCAUUGCGGUCAGGAUCGGCCCAGGAAUGUUGAGGAACAGACUGAACAUGAUCGUCAUAUACAGCUGACCUGGAAGAGGAGAGCCGUUCAUUUAAGCACACUUGCAGCAGGACGCAGCAGGGAUCGCGCUAUCCACUGACUGGAGGGUUGUGCCGCAGUGAGUUCAUGCAGCCUUUCUCCCUUCGAGUGAACGUUCCCCUGCUAGAAUGAAUUGGAAGGAUGAACACCAUCAUGAAAUGUCAGGGGUAGAUGGAGCAAGGGAAACCGUAGUCGAGCGAACUGGCAUGGGAAAGAUGAAACUAACAUGGGAGAGAGGUGAACGGUAAAAAGAAAGGGCGGUGGAAGAAAGAAGAACGGAGGGGGGUGGGAAAGAGAAGGAUCUAUCAAAGAAAAGGAAAAAAAAAAGUUCUAAGAACUAUCAAAGUUCGUGUGAUCAAUUUUGUUAUUAGUGUGUAGUAUUUUUUACAUCUUAGUGAAGGAGGAGGGACGCAGUGGAGUGUGACACUAACAACGAACAUUCAUUAAAAACUCAAGCCAUGUAAGCCCAGGCUCGCAUGGCAUUUAACGUCGAAACUACGAAUCAACUUAGUGAACGACCAGGAUUUUGCAUGCGAUUACAUUAUCAAAACUCGACAAUAUUGAGAACGGAGACGUACGUACGUGUGUGUGUGUGUGUGUGUGUGUGUGUGUGUGUGUGUGUGUGUGUGUGUGUGCGCGCGCGCGCGGAACAGGACAAAGAGGAAGAAAACAAGCGUCUUAAUUCAAGAAACACUAAGAAGAGACACGUAAGAAGUACGAGACAAGAAUGUGAAAUUGAGUGAAGAAUUUCUUAUUAUAAAACACGAAAACAGGUACCAAGAUUACAAAUAAGCUAUCACACUAUCGGAUAGGUUAAGUGACAGGACGUGACCAACAAUGAGAAUAACCCACCGAGAACAAUGCGGCGAAUCACAAAACUAACAAGGCCGGAGAGUAGCAGCAAGCACCAAGCUAUAAGAAGAGAUACCCAGGUGGCUAUACAAAAUAAAAUAAAGAAACCGCAAGUAUCAGGUCUCCGAGGAUCUGAGGGCCCAUGUACGCGACGCAGUUAAUGGACCAGACAGACAGAAGGCACAUCGCAUGCAACUUGGCUCUGUUCCUGAUUAGACGAGAAUACGAUUUACCGAAGUUACUCGAAAAUUAACCUUAUUCAAAGACAAGGGAAAAUAAAAUAAUAUGAUCGAAGUGUUUAAAAAAUAAAUCUUACAACAAUGAAAACCUUGUUGGGGUAGAAAGUCGCUAUAAAGUUUCUAACAUCACCGUGUAAAUUAACAUCAGUGUAUAUUAUAUUAUGAGGUGUAGGAAAUGCAAAUAGACGGAACACAGACCUGUCAGACCAGACCAGAGCGUGUCAAGACGGGCAAGCCGAAUGUCACAGUACCAGUAAUUAGAGCCUUACAGCUUAACAGAUGUAGUGUCUGAAUUUAAUGUUAUGUGAAAAAUUCUAAUCGCAGAUGUGAAAAAAAAAAUGUAAUGUUAUUUGUGAAAAAUUCUAAUCGCAGAUGUGAAAAAAAAAAUGUAAUGUUAUUUGUGAAAAAUUCUAAUCGCAGAUGUCAAAAAAAAUGUAACCGCAAAUAUAAUGAAGUGUUCCGAAUAGUGUAUGUAAUUUUUAUGGAGAUUAAUCCAUAAGGAUUAAACUUCUUUUCUUGGUGUUUGGAUAUGUAUAACUGCUUUUCUUGGUGCUUGGAUGUGUAUAACUGCUGGAAGUCGAGAAUGAUCACAAUUACAUGUAAGCAAUUCAUAUCAAAUCAUAUCAAUUUACACUAAGUUUGUAAGA